CAUAUGCUUUUUAUUCUAAAUGGCUUCUGUCUGAGCCAUUUGAUGCAGUGCUGCUGAGAUGUCACCCUGCUUCAGCUUUGAACGGAAAGUUCGAUUGAUAACGUCAAGAAUCUAUAAUAGCAUGCGCAGAGAGGGCAUGAGAAGAGAAGGGAAGGGAGGGAGGAGAGUGGUUUAUUGAAAACUGCUUCAGUGCACUAAUGUCCCUGAAACCUGAACUCUUUCUGAAUCUGAAGGGCAUUAUAUGACAGGCAUCCUCCUCACCCUCUGUUUAAAGGCUGAUUGACCAACCCCUCCGACAGACCCGCUGCCAGCCCACCUGGACGUCUCUCUUGCGCCCCGCUUGUUACCAUGAUGCAGCCAAGCACAGCUACAGUAUGUGCCUCGUGGCCUCUGACAUUUGUGUGGAAAGGAAAGGAUGUGCUCAACCUUCCCGUUCUGCUCCUGUAUUCAACCUCUGGGGUCUUGACCCUUCAAAAAAGAAACACUCGAGUAUGAAGAAAAAGAAAGGUUGACUAGGAAACAGAGAAAACAAGAGAGAAAGAUCCCAGGGGUUAAUGGCAAGCCUCCUGUCUUAGGGAUUGAUCCAAGUAUUGGAUCGCACAUAAAGCUGCAGUUACUGGAUAUUACCCUGCCGCUAUCGGUCUGCAGUGAUGGCCUGGAUAAGAAGUGCUUACCAAAGAGGAUGCUCCUCCAGGGCAGAUACGGUUUCCCAGCCCUCUGGGAACAACAACCACAUGCCUGCUGCUUGCUCAGGAACUUUCUACCUCAUCGAGUAAAUCCAGGGGCCUUAUCAAGUUACUAGUCUACUGAACUGCUCAAAACAUGUUUAAACCACCUAAGAGUUUGAGCUGCAUACAAGCAGGGCAGUAAUUAAAUGGCACCUGCUUCUCAUAGAUAAGAGUGUUGAUUUUUUGGUUUGUUGGGGCUUAUGUUUUAUGUUGGAUAAAGUGGGGUUAUUGUGGAUUUAAUUCACAGCAGAAUGCUGUUUUAUAGAUUUCUGCUUGGUUAGAUUGUAAAGUUGCUGAGUAACUCCUAAGAGAAUUGUAAACUUUACUUUUUCUUCAUGCAGACUUCGCUGUACUUGUCUUAAUUAUUGUAAUUGCGUAAAACCUUUUAAACAGGAAUGCUUUAAGCCCUCAAACCUCUCCUGUCUAUAGUUCCUCUUGUGGUUUUACAUCAGAUUUGUAUAGGAGCUAGCUGAAUUCAGGUCGGUGCCAAAGUGGCCAGCUCUAUGAGCAUCUGCUGUAUGUCUCUCUGUGGUAUUACCCAUGAAGCACCUGGCUUAUGCCACACGCCAGCAACCAGAGCCCAGAUGGCAGCUAAGCAGGAUAAUUAUUUCAACACAAAACUCUGAUGUCCCACACCAGCACUGUGGGGACACUUUGGCAUGCUGCAUUUCUUUCUCUAAUUCCGCCGAAGAGGAUGUCUGCCAUGCAGCUAUAAAGAUGUCAAGUGGGUAAUCAUCGUCACAGACAGGCCCCGCUACAGUGCUUGGCGUCCAGAUGUAAAGUUGGUCAUAUGUCGUCUCCUUUAGAGGAACAGAGGCAUUUGGCACUGGUUGGACGAUGUAUUGUUUUUGUCCUUAGUGCUCAUCGAUGCACAUGCAUGCUCAUUAUAUUUCAGAGUUGACAAUAACAAAAGUUUAUGUAAAAAAUAUUUUGGGUCUUCUAAUGAAUAUAACCACCUGCAAAAUGCUGAUUCAGAGUUCUGACAAGAUUUCAUAGCAAUGUAAGCCACUUGUGCAAAAUAUGAAAAGCAGUAUAAAGUAAGUGUUGAUGAACAGGAAGUCAUUUCUCCU